CCCUGGUGGCUCAGUGGUAGAGAAUCUGCCUGCAAUGCAGGAGACGCAGGUUAGAUCCCUGGAUCAGGAA
rnacentral:tRNA from 1 species